GACGAACGCUGGCGGCGUGCUUAACACAUGCAAGUCGAACGGAAAGGCCCUGCUUUUGUGGGGUGCUCGAGUGGCGAACGGGUGAGUAACACGUGAGUAACCUGCCCUUGACUUUGGGAUAACUUCAGGAAACUGGGGCUAAUACCGGAUAGGAGCUCCUGCUGCAUGGUGGGGGUUGGAAAGUUUCGGCGGUUGGGGAUGGACUCGCGGCUUAUCAGCUUGUUGGUGGGGUAGUGGCUUACCAAGGCUUUGACGGGUAGCCGGCCUGAGAGGGUGACCGGCCACAUUGGGACUGAGAUACGGCCCAGACUCCUACGGGAGGCAGCAGUGAGGAAUAUUGCACAAUGGGCGGAAGCCUAAUGCAGCAACGCCGCGUGCGGGAUGACGGCCUUCGGGUUGUAGACCGCUUUCGCCUGUGACGAAGCGUGAGUGACGGUAAUGGGUAAAGAAGCACCGGCUAACUACGUG
rnacentral:rRNA from 1 species